rnacentral:lncRNA from 1 species
UGAUUAUUUAGAAUAAUGUGUCGCUGAUAUUUCACGUUAAGAUCCUACCGGUGCAACUCCUUGAGCCUUUGCAGCAGCAGAAGCUGCCGCUGCAGCAGCCGCGGCAGCCGCAGCAGCAGCUGGAUUGGGCCGAGAAUUUCCCUGAGAUUCGACUACACUUGACUGCGCUUGGGGCUGCUGGGAUCUAACCUUUGCAACUAAAUCCUUUAUUUGACUUCCUGUAAGUGUCUCAUGCUCCAGAAGAGCAUUUGCAAGCG